rnacentral:rRNA from 1 species
GAUGAACGCUGGCGGCGUGCUUAACACAUGCAAGUCGAGCGAAGCAGUUAAGUUGAUUUCUUCGGAUUGAUUCUUAACUGACUGAGCGGCGGACGGGUGAGUAACGCGUGGGUGACCUGCCCCAUACCGGGGGAUAACAGCUGGAAACGGCUGCUAAUACCGCAUAAGCGCACAGAGCUGCAUGGCUCGGUGUGAAAAACUCCGGUGGUAUGGGAUGGGCCCGCGUCUGAUUAGGCAGUUGGCGGGGUAACGGCCCACCAAACCGACGAUCAGUAGCCGGCCUGAGAGGGCGACCGGCCACAUUGGGACUGAGACACGGCCCAAACUCCUACGGGAGGCAGCAGUGGGGAAUAUUGCACAAUGGGGGAAACCCUGAUGCAGCGACGCCGCGUGAGCGAAGAAGUAUUUCGGUAUGUAAAGCUCUAUCAGCAGGGAAGAUAAUGACGG